UACGUAUGUGGCGAGCGUUGUUCGGAAUUACUGGGCAUAAAGAGUUCGUAGGCGGAUUAAUAAGUUGGGUGUGAAAUCCCGGGGCUUACCCCCGGAACUGCAUUCAAUACUGUCAAUCUGGAGUCCUUCAGGGGUAAGUGGAAUUCCAUGUGUAGCGGUGAAAUGCGUAGAUAUAUGGGAGAACGCCAAUGGCGAAGGCAGCUUACUGGGGAGUGACUGACGCUGAGGAACGAAAGCUAGGGGAUCAAACGGG
rnacentral:rRNA from 1 species